GCAGGUAUCGUAUAAUGGUUAAUAUAAGAGAUUUCCAAUCUUUUGAUGUCAGUUCGAUUCUGACUAUCUGCUCA
rnacentral:tRNA from 1 species